rnacentral:lncRNA from 1 species
GGUGAGUGUGCAUAUGUGUCUGUGUGCAAAGCACCCAGGCCCCCAAAUACACAUAAGUCUCCUACGCAGGUUUUGUUUUGUGUUUUUGAGAUGGAGUCUCGCUCUUGUCGCCCAGGCUGGAGUGCAAUGGCGCGAUCUCAGCUCUCCGCAACCUCCGCCUCCCGGGUUCAAGCGAUUCUCCUGCCUCAGCCUCCCGAGUAGCUGGGAUGACAGGUGCCCGUCACCACACCCAGAAAAGGAAGUUUGAAAUGAUGGGGUUGUAAACUUGACGUCAACUCAUGGCUAACCGCUUCCUUAUUUUUUUUUUUAAUUGGAUAUAUUUAACGUACAAACAAGAUGUUUUGAUACAGAAUUAACUCUUAAGCAAUGUGGAGGUUACAGACACUGCCACCUUGUGCAGUCAAAAAUCCAAGUAUAGGGCAGGGCCCAGUGGCUCACACCUGUAAUCCCAGCUCUGUGGGAGGCCAAGGUGGGUGCAUCACCUGAGGUCAGGGGUUCGAGACCAGCCUGACCAACAUGGCGAAACUCCA